UACGAGGGGGGCAAGCGUUGUUCGGAAUUACUGGGCGUAAAGGGCGCGUAGGCGGCGCGGGCAGUCAACGGUGAAAGCUUGGGGCUCAACCCCGAGUCGGCCGUCGAUACUCCCGUGCUGGAGCACUGUAGAGGCAGGUGGAAUUCCGGGUGUAGCGGUGGAAUGCGUAGAGAUCCGGAGGAACACCGGUGGCGAAGGCGGAUCUCUGGGCCUGUUCUGACGCUGAGGCGCGAAAGCUAGGGGAGCGAACGAGGA
rnacentral:rRNA from 1 species